UUGUCAGCAAUGUCCGAAGGGUCCUCCAAGGGAGCAGUUCUUUGAUAAGAUGGGUCUUGGCCGACAACCCAGUAGAAAUAGAGGGGGAUAACUCUUCAAUACACCUCCAAGGGCGUCGCAGCGAAGCGAAACAUGCAACAGCGUAGCUUAGAAAGGGAAAAUGGGAGGGAAAAUGCUGAGGGGCUUAUGGAAAAGUGAUCGCUGCGGCGUUUCAAAGGUUUCGUCAGGCUGAAGAAAUGCAUUGUCUGGCACUUUUGAGGAACCCAGUUUAACAGAAUCCUUGCUCAGACCAACCCAGGAUGUCAGCUACAAAAUCUACAUUAACUCGGCCUAAAUUGAAAUUCUUUUGGCAAUUUAUCAAGUAUUCCGUGCGCGUCAAAGACAAGAGGCCAGCUGCACUUAGAGAAAAUCAACACUUCUCACAUGCCACUGUGGAGCGGUUUGAGUUUCACUCUGAUGGUCUUGAAGUCUGGUCUCUGAUCC
rnacentral:lncRNA from 1 species